AGCACACACGCACAGACACACCACUCGUGUACGUUGCUACCCCUCCCACCGACGAUCAGCUGAGAGGAUCUCACAUCGAACUUCGCCGAGACUCUUUGUCGUUUGGUUUUCCCUUUUGUGUACGCUGGAAGCACGCACGCCUUUCUCAAGGCAUCUACAUCCCCCAACCAGCCCUUCUUUUGCCCACCUCGCACCCCAUUCACGAUUGCACACUUAAGCCUUAUCACACAAGCAGCGCCUUAUCUUCCCUCGUGCACCAGCAGAGCUGGGAGGAAGAAAAGAACGCAAGACUACGCGGUGCAGGCACUCCCACACAUACACCCACCGUUUACACUCUCACGUUUUCAAACAUACGAGGAAGGAGCUAACAAGAACAGAGAGCCGCAAGCCGACACGACAUUACCACACGGUAUCAACAGAACCUUCGCGUCCCCCAGCUCGCCUUCGGCCCUCUAGCUUCCUCUCUAAACGGCGAGGGCGUUGGUGUGCGUCUCAUUUUUUUUUUUGGUGCCUCUUUCGACUACAGCCAUUGCCAGCAGUCCCUCCACGCAGACAGGCACGGACACGGACUGCAUACAAACCCACGUCCAGGUAAUCAGAUCUCACUACAGACGCAAAGAGAUUCGCACUCACACUGACGCCUGCCGAGAUUGAACGUAACACCAUCGUCAGCACCCACAUAACCCCACAUACCCUCGUAAAGAACGUAAGCGUGGCCACUGUGCUGCAGGCUGGGUGCGCUGUCGUGCACCCGCCUAUCCUCUCAUUUAUUGUCUGUGCUUCUCUGCGCGUGUUUGACUGCGCACGAGCGCGUUGGUUUUUGUCCACGGAUUUUUCAAUCUACACCCCUCCCCCCUUCCCACUCCGCCCUCCCCCUUCACUUGCCCCAGUGCGCUUCUUUUCGUGUGUAUCCCCAUCGAAAAUUUUUCUUUUCCUGUUCUCGAAGUCGGUGUCUUUGUGCGCGCGUUUCUUUUUUUUUUGAGGACGACGAAGGAGGUGGGAAGGAGAACACACGAAAACAACCACAACGAAAGGAGUACGAAGACACAGAGAGAGAGAGAACAGAUCGAGAAAGACAUCCGAUCACCUUUUUAUAAGACUGCUGCUGGUUUUGUUUGCUUGGUAUUAGUGUGAUCGAUCUAUAUCUUUCUCUAUAUAUACGAGUGUGUUUGUGCAUAUUUUUUAAAAACACACAUACACACACAUAUAUCUGUAUAGUAGGUGUACUCCCUCCCUUUUACCCUCACUCUCAUUUUGUUUCGGUUCCGUUCCUUGAGCGUCUUUUUGCAAGUUUGACUUCAUCGUGUACUUGCGCCUCCGUUUCCCCCCCUUUGCGUGUAUCCCUACUACUGCUGCUGCUACUACUCCUGCUGCUGUAGGUGCUGCGGACCGCCAAACCUUUCUGCCGCUGCCAUCCCCCUCCCUCCCUCCCUACCUACCUUAUCUCUGUAUCUGUGCCUUCCUCUUUUCUCGAACUCGGUGCUGUAGAGCGCUUGUGCGGUAUUCCGCGUACCCUUGUCAGGACUGUUCCCCUCGGUCUUUCAGUGAGGUCGCGAGAAACAUCGUGCUCCCUGUGCUCGCGUUAGCGCGCGCGUACGUAGCACUGCCGCCGCCUCCUCGCUUCAGUGCUCCCUCCCGUUGAUCAAGGCGGCUGAUAGUUUUCUUUUUUCGUUGCAUUGAGGCGACUGACGAGUUUCAGCAAUGAAACGCCUCUCGACGCACCAGGGCAGCCGCCUGGCGAGCCGCCACACGGGUGUUUCAGUGACCGCUGGCACCGGUGUAACCGCGCCUGAGGCAACUGGACCGAUUUUAGGUCGCCUAACAGGCAUGCAAUGCCAUUCGGGAAUGGGCGUGCCCAGUAGUAGUUUAUGGCACUCAUGCGCCUUCUUUUCUACCCAGUCAUCCAAGGCGGCAUCGCUGGCCAAGGCCGCGGCCGCCUCGUUGCCUGUCGCGAUGCCGGGAGGAGCUGCGGCAAUGCCGGCCGCGUCGCCCCCGUCUGCUGCUGUUGCAGCCUCAAAGCCAGCAGGCCGUAGCGGCAGAGGCGGCGGAGCAUCAUCGCGCGGGCGAAAGGGCGGGUCUGGAUCGGCGGCGCCGCAGGAGCAGCUGCCUCGCAAGCAGGUGGGUCGGCGGCACCGCAUUUCACCUGCCGCGGCAAAGGUGGCGGAGAAUGCUGACGUAAAACCGAUGCGUAGCCGACGUGCAAGUGAUUCACCGCGCAGACGUGCGACGCCGAAGCAAGAGGCGAAGCGGCUGCUUCGGUCGCUCGAUCACAACGCAUCGUGUGCGCCAGCUGCAGCUGGCAAUCCGAUUUCAAUCCCAACGAAAGCCAAGGAGGGCAAAGGUCUUAGGCAGGUGGCGUUUGCAGCCACUGCGGCGGCGAACGCUAGAGCCGCAACACCGUCUGCCGCGGCUGCGAAGGCGGAACGGACGGAGGCAGCAUCUUUGACCACUGCCCAGCUGUUGCAGCAUCUGCAGCUCACAUCGUUUGUGGAGCGCGUCGCGGAACGGGUCAAGGCGUGGGCGUCUUCCCUGGCGGAAUGGGCGCAGCCGGCCUUUGACCCCGCACUGCGGGGGUGGGAGCGGCAGCUUUCGCUGUCCUUGCGCAAGGACUCCUUCGCUGACUGCACGGCCGUUCAGAACGCUAUGCAGCAGCGCUACGAGGACCAGUUUGGCCACAACCAAGACGACGUCGCCUUCCUCACCCUUUAUGCGCGUGUGCUGGUGAACAACGCGAUGUUCUGCCUCGUCAGCUUCGAGACAUACCGCAGCACGCAGCUGCUGCACGAGGCCGUGCACGUAGCCAAGGAGGCAUACGUGCUUCAACGACGUCUGACGCAGGGCCAGGAGGACGGCGCCGCGGCGGCGGCGCAGGGAAAAGCUCGUGGCGAGACCGGCACAUCCACAGCGGCAGCGGCGGCAAGCGCUUCCAAGCAGCCGUCCCUCGUGGGUGAUCCGGAGUGCCACUUGUUUCUCUUGCGCGUGCUUCUGGCGAACGCGUACGCCAGUGAUCAGCAAUACUGGAAAGCUUCCGAGCAGUAUCAGCUGGCGCUUUCCGCGAUGGAGCGCAACCCGAUGUGGUGCCCCGAGCAGGUAGCCCCUGGUUUGGCGAGCCCGUUGCCGUUCAACCACACACUGGUGACAGAGGAUGCGAAGCUAUUUUACGAGGACAGCGUGCGCGUCGCCCACGCCAUCUCGCAAGGUCGCGCGCAGCUGCUGCUGCUCCAAUCGAAAGGACCCACGGCGACGUCCGCACGGCUGCUGCAGGUGCAACUGGCAAUGGCGCGUUUACAUCGGCGCGCUGGCCAGUACGCAGAGAGCCAGAGCCUCUACGAGAGCUACCUCGACGGCGUGACGGAGCACAUGGAAAGCGAGGACGUUGGCGGGGCCAUGCUGGAGCUGGGCCGACUUUUACUCUACAAGGUGAACAACAGCGACGCCGCCGUGAUCUACCUGGAGGCAGCCUCGAGCAUUCUCCUCGAAGACGCUGAGGCGCUGCUGCAGGUAGCCGAGGCACAUGGUGAUAGUAGCGGUAGCAACCGUAGCAACGAGGCCACGGCCGCGGAGGCGCGCAUAGCUGCCGGCAACGCAACACAUCGUGCAGCUGGCGGCCUCAUCGACGCUGCCAUGGCGUUUCACACCGUAGGCAAGACGGGCCAGGCGAUCGGGCUGCUCGAAGGAUGUCUGCAGCUGCUCGACCGUGCCGAUCUCGGUUUCAUCAGCGGAUGGGUGCGGAGGCAGUACGCGGACAUGCUGGCUAGCGUCGCCCUCGUGGAUCGGGCUCUCGAGGAGUAUAGUCGCACGAUUGAGCUGCUGCGCAACGGCUGCGGCGACGCUGUCGCACAGCUCGGGACGGCUGGCGAGAUGGUUCCUCUUCACUCCGCGGAGGUGGAAGGCCACAUGGCUUUCUGCCUCCAGACCUACGUCGGCGACCACAAGCGGGCCAUGAAGCACUACCGCAACAUCGUGAAAGGGUCCCACAAGAAGGACGCGUCGGUGACGAGCGCACAGGUGCGGCUGAACAAGCGCGCCCGGCGCCAGCGCGCCUCGACUGCUACGGUCGCUGCCACUGCCGCAGGCAGCACGGGUGCUUCGGACGGUGUCGCUUUCACUAGCGGCCAGGCGCGCGCCGGGUCGUCUCCUGCACUGCCGCGCGUUGACGUGUCUCUUCAACCGGACGUGCUGCACUGGGUGCUGAGCAACUAUGUCGCAUGCUGCGAGCGCGUCGGCGCCUACGCGGAGGCGGUUGGGGUGCAGAGCCGCCUCAUCGAAAUCGAAGGCGCGUUGGGCGGCGGCGUCGUCGAUUCGUACCUGAAGCUCAUCUCCCUCGCUCGCCAGGCUGGCGACAUGGAGAAGACGCUGGCGCUGUGCUUCUACAUCUUUUUCCUGCCUGACGACAUGAUGCCGAGCGAGACGCGGCUGAGCGUCGCAAACAGCUUCGCCUCCUGCUGCCAUCGGCUGGGGAACAGUCGCAUGGGGUCUGUGCUGUUACAGGCAGUGCAGCAGGUGCGCGGCGACCACGAUGCCAGCUCGCUCGCGCGAUACGCCAUGGGCCUCAAGACACUGGAUCCCUCUGACCGCGUGCAGCUGGAUUGUGUGGACAUCGAGGCGAGCAUCGACACUAUCGGCCGCGUCUUCCGACGGGCCGCUAGCAUUGUCGUGGCCGACAUGGUCGUCAACGGCAUCGAGGAUGAGGAGCGGACCACUCGCGAUGGUCGCAGAGCCAGCAGCAGUGACAGCAGCGCUGCCGCGGCUGCGCUGAGCGAUGGCGGCAACGAGUCAUCAGCGCCCUCUUCAACAUCGCCGUCUUUGUGGACGCGGGAGCGCGUGGACAGGACGCUGAACAGCCUCAUCGUGCUCAGCCGCGGCGCCUUUUUUUUUCACCAGAACCGGUUUAUCAAGGAUGCGGAGGAGCUGUACGCCGUUGCCCUGCAGCACGUCGACCACAUCAUCGCUUCCAUGCCGAUCCUAACGGAGAGGCACCAGCGAGAGAUGGGCAUCUUGCUCGUGAACUACGCCACUCUCAAAUCUGCGACGGACCCGGAGCUGGCAGCCACCCUUUACGAGCGCGCUGCAGCAGUGUGCCCUACGUACCUGGAGGUGGCGGAGGUGGUGGCGGACGUCUUUGUGCAGUCCGGCGACUACGCCAAGGGAUCUGUGUACAUGAAGCGCGUCAUGCGCGCGAACCCGUCGGCGGCGACGGAAAUGCACAUGCGACUGGCGCGGCUCGGAACGGGUAGCGCCUGGGAUACGAUGUCGCACGGGCAGCGAAUGGAGGUAAUGGAGCACCUGCUGAAGGGCCUCGGCGUAGCGCCUGAGCGCGUCGCGGCGGCGUUCGCAGCUGGGGUGCAGAGUCAGCUGACCAACGCGAACAACACCAACGUGGUCAUGUCCCUCGGGAAUCUCGCUCCGCUGCUGCUGGACGGCGUUGCCACCGCCACGAGUGAGGACGCUGUGUGCUUCGCUACCUAUGUCGUGCAGACCCGCUUUCAGGAGCCGCAGCUGCUGAACCGCAUGUACCGCCGCGCGCUGCUGCGCUUCCCGCAGCAUGCCACCAUCCUCGUGAACUACGCCACCCUGUGCAUGCACUCUGGCUGCCACACCCUGGCGCGGAAGUACAUCGCGAAGGCGUACGCGGCCUCCUCAGGCGAUUUGAACUGCACCAUGUGCUACGCCCAUUAUCUGUGCCGCUCCUUUGACGACCGGCAGGUGGGGUGCGGCGAAGCCCUGUACGCACACUUUCUCGAGCGGUACCCGAACGCGGCGCAGGCGCACGCGGCGUUCGCCAACUACAUGGCUGGCGUCAUGCCCACCCCCUUCAAGACGGAGCAGCACUUCAAGGCGGCGCUGGAGCUGGCCCCGUCGUCGGAGGACGUGGUGCUACAGUACGGCCAGUUUAUGUGGGCCUGCACCGAUAGCAAGACGGUCUAUACGAACGAUGAGGUGCGCCGGCGCGUGUUCGAUCGGGUGGAGCAGCUCUUCAAGGAGGCAGUCGCCAUCAACCCGAACAGCUUCACAGCGUGUCACCAGCUCGGCACCUUCUACGCGAACGGCCAACACCGCUUCGAGGAUGCCAUGGCAAUGCUGCAACGAGCGCACAGGCUGCAGCCGGGCAACAUUGAGGUGGUGCGACACAUUCUCGGUGUCUUGCACGGGGAAUGCAUGCGAUUGAAGAAGGAAGAGCUGCGCCGCGGUAGCGCCGUGGCACUGCAGGGCGCCAACACACAGUCCUUCUCUGGCCGACUGCGCUCGCUGGUCGAUGCGACCAAGGAAAUGUUCGAGCACGUGCUGAGGAUGGACCCCAACGACAAGGCGUCGCUUGAGGGCUACGCGCGCUUCGCCGUGGAGACGCUGCAGGAUCCGAAGCUGGCCGCUACCCUCUAUAGGCGAAUCGAAGAGCUGAACCGCAAGUAGGGGUGGCAGGGCAACAUCAAGGGGACGACAAACGGGUGGGCUGCGCGUGCUUCGGUCUCUUUUGGUUUCCUUGACAUCCCCUCCCCCUUCUUCCUGUCUGAUGGUGCGGUGAGGGGGCGGGGUAUGCGUGCAUGAUGAGCACCCAUCCACCCAACGCGCGUCGACACAUGCGCAGCGGCAUGUGUGCACUGUGGGUACCUGUGCCGUCCUUCACCCCUUCCUUCUCGUGCUCCCUCUUCGACCUCAGUCGCAGGGAAAAGCGCAAAGGAUACGACGAGGAACACAAACAGACACGCGGGCAUCGCGGCCCCUUCCCCCCUCCCACACCACACCACACCAACUGACAACUCGAGUAUACCAGUGUUACAUAUGAAAGAUUCUCGCGAAUGCCUAGAUCUCUCGCUCUCUUUCUGUUUUCGUUUUUCUUGUGUUUCCCCUUCCUUACCUUUCCAAAG
rnacentral:misc_RNA from 1 species